AAGCCGUUCGACCAUUGCCGUACCUUCGUGGAACCCACUCCAUCAAUUUUCGGCAUGUUCCUGGCGACAUUCUCUCCAUUGUGGGACUCAGAGCUCUUUCUAGCUACUUUUUCGAGGUUUUUUUUUUUUUCUAGAGCGUGGGACUACUCUCUGAUGACAACCCUCCCUUCUGUGGGGCUAGCAGUAGUCAUUGUCCGUCCUGAGACUAUCGACAUAAAGGUUCAACAAUAUUUGAAGAUCAUGGCUCGCUGGCCCAUACUGUGCCAUUAUGAUGGGGUGCUAGUAUAGGAACAAAAGAGAUGGUCAUAUAAGGGUGGCGAAUCUAAGUUUGUUGUUGUGAGCACUGAGAUUACAUGUGAGGAGCUCAUAUUUAAAAUGCAUAAGAUUACGAAGACAACACCCAAUGAAUACAAGGUUAGAAUGAAGGUUGUUUAUACUGUGCAGAGUACCAUGUCACUUUAUCCACAAAUUAUCAGAGAUGAUGAAGA